rnacentral:rRNA from 1 species
UACGUAGGGUGCAAGCGUUGUCCGGAAUUAUUGGGCGUAAAGAGCUUGUAGGCGGUUUGUCGCGUCUGCUGUGAAAUUUCGGGGCUCAACCCCGAACUUGCAGUGGGUACGGGCAGACUAGAGUGUGGUAGGGGAGACUGGAAUUCCUGGUGUAGCGGUGAAAUGCGCAGAUAUCAGGAGGAACACCGGUGGCGAAGGCGGUUCUCUGGGCAUGAUCUGACGCUGAGGAGCGAAAGUGUGGGGAGCGAACAGG